UGGAGUAGUGAUAUGGUUGUGUGAAAGAWUAAGGGAUGGAUGUGUGAGUAGAAGGGGGAAUAAGGUGAAAGGGGGAAUGGGUGAUUAAAUGAGUUAUGGUUGGUUGGAUGUUAGGGAGAGUUAGAUGGAUAAGUGUGGUAAUUGUAGAGGUAAUAGAUGAAGGUGGUGGGGGGAGGAGUGAUGGAAGGGGGGGUUUUAUUAGAAGAAAAGGAAUGGGUGGGGUGGUGGGUGGGUUGGGUUGGUGAGUGUGAAUAAGUUUGGGGUGAUGGGAGGGUGGGAGGAGGGGGGAGGGAUGUUUGAAAUGUGUGGGUUAUGAAGUUUGGAUGGUAGGUUGUGGGGGUAGGAUGGUUGUAAGGGGUGAGGGGGAAUGAGGGUUGGAUUGGGGAGAGGGAGGGUGAGAAAGGGGUAGGAGAUGGAAGGAAGGGAGGAGGGGGGGAAAUUAGGGAGUGGGGGGAGGGGGAGGUAGUGAGGAAAAAUAAGGAUACGGGAGUGAUGGGAGGGGGGGUAAUGGGAAUGAGAAGAGUUUAAAUGGUUUAAGGAGGAUGUAUUGGAGGGGAAGUGUGGUGGGAGGAGGGGGGGUAAUUGGAGGUGGAAUAGGGUAUAU
rnacentral:rRNA from 1 species